rnacentral:rRNA from 1 species
UACAGAGGUCUCAAGCGUUGCUCGGAAUCACUGGGCGUAAAGGGUGCGUAGGCGGGUCUUUAAGUCAGGGGUGAAAUCCUGGAGCUCAACUCCAGAACUGCCUUUGAUACUGAGGAUCUUGAGUUCGGGAGAGGUGAGUGGAACUGCGAGUGUAGAGGUGAAAUUCGUAGAUAUUCGCAAGAACACCAGUGGCGAAGGCGGCUCACUGGCCCGGUACUGACGCUGAGGCACGAAAGCGUGGGGAGCAAACAGG